AGGAGCACAGCCCUGGAUCAGCACUGAACACAGACCGUUCAUCAUGAACUUCAGGCUCAGCUUGGUUUUCCUUGUCCUUAUUUUAAAAGGUGUCCAGUGUGAGGUGAAGCUGGUGGAGUCUGGGGGAGGCUUAAUGCAGCCUGGAAGCACCCUGAAACUCUCUUGUGCAGCCUCUGGAUUCACUUUCAGUAACCACUGGAUGUCCUGGAUCCGGCAGGCUCCAGAAAAGGGGUUGGAGUGGUUGGCAGACAUUAAUAGUGGUGGUAGUACUAUCUACUAUGCAGACAUUGUGAAAGGCCGAUUCACCAUCUCCAGAGACAAUGCCGAGAACACUCUGCACCUGCAAAUGAGCACUCUGAGGUCUGAGGACACAGCCAUGUAUUACUGUGCAAGAGGCACAGUGAGCAAAUGUUAUUGUGAGCUCAAACAUAAACCUCCUGCCGGGCACCCAGGACCAGCAGGGGGCACUGAGAGCACACAGUGUUCUGUGUCACAGAGAGUUACAGCCUGUUCAUUUGUCCUGGAGGAUUGA